rnacentral:rRNA from 1 species
AUUGAACGCUGGCGGCAGGCCUAACACAUGCAAGUCGAACGGUAACAGGAAGAAGCUUGCUUCUUUGCUGACGAGUGGCGGACGGGUGAGUAAUGUCUGGGAAACUGCCUGAUGGAGGGGGAUAACUACUGGAAACGGUAGCUAAUACCGCAUAACGUCGCAAGACCAAAAAGGGGGACCUUCGGGCCUCUUGCCAUCGGAUGUGCCCAGAUGGGAUUAGCUAGUAGGUGGGGUAACGGCUCACCUAGGCGACGAUCCCUAGCUGGUCUGAGAGGAUGACCAGCCACACUGGAACUGAGACACGGUCCAGACUCCUACGGGAGGUAGCAGUGGGGAAUAUUGCACAAUGGGCGCAAGCCUGAUGCAGCCAUGCCGCGUGUAUGAAGAAGGCCUUCGGGUUGUAAAGUACUUUCAGCGGGGAGGAAGGGAGUAAAGUUAAUACCUUUGCUCAUUGACGUUACCCGCAGAAGAAGCACCGGCUAACUCCGUG